AAUCUUUGCAGAGCCUGCCGCAGAUUAACCAUGAUACGUCGUCGGCUGGCAGUCUUCAAGGAAGCUUCGACUGGUAUACGCGCGACCCGAGACAGGCUUGCCACGUGUCCGAUUAUCAAAUUUCUAUUAGUGACAGCGAGUUACCCGUAGAACGGAGCUUUGCCAAACACGUUCGCCGGGUGUAUCGUGCCGAGGGCAAAGGUGCCAGCAGAGAGAGAGAGAGAGAGAGAGACAAGGCGAGCACCAAAGCACGCAAGAAACCGGCUGUGGAAUAAAUGAGAGAACGAUCCAAUCGGUCGCAGGAUCUCAGACGUAAUCGAGGAUAGGAAACAAGGAUGCGUUCCUUAGCGGUGAUCACUUUAGUCGCGUUCUGUAUCUUGUGCGCCUAUGGCAGUCCUACAGCCGGUAUAGGUAGAGACCUGGACCCGCAGCUAUUCUACUUUCCCGACCAAGCGGAAUACGUGCAGCUCUCGAUGAUGUGCCCUGAGAACACGAUCCUGUGGCCAGGGAACCGUCGGUGCUACAGGGAAGGCGAACGAGGACCCUGCAAUGUCGGCCGCAUCCUGGUUUUCGAUCGGAGAUCCCUAGUACCCUACUGCAUGGACGCAGUGCUUUAGACUAUUUGAAGAACGUCUAGGCACUGCUCUUACCGACUCGACAUGGCCAUAGCACAGAUGGCAGCAGGGAUUUAAACAGCCUUAUCCACGUUCAUUUAGCGAUUUAAGUCGAUAGCUUAUAAUUGUGCCCAUAAUUAUGAAAGUGGUCUAAGUCAAAAUUUAAAAAAAAAUGAAUUUAUCACUUAUUUCACACGA